rnacentral:rRNA from 1 species
AGAACGAACGCUGGCGGCGUGGAUAAGACAUGCAAGUCGAACGGAACUUGUUGUGUAGCAAUACAUGGCAAGUUCAGUGGCGCAAGGGUGCGUAACACGUGGGCAACCUGCCCAAAAGUGGGGGAUAGCUCGUCGAAAGGCGAAUUAAUACCGCAUGUGACUAGGAAUUUAACUUUUCCGACGUCAAAGCCGGGGCAACCUGGCGCUUUUGGAUGGGCCCGCGGCCUAUCAGCUUGUGGUGAGGUAACGGCUCACCAAGGCUAUGACGGGUAGCUGGUCUGAGAGGACGACCAGUCACACUGGAACUGAGACACGGUCCAGACACCUACGGGUGGCAGCAGUCGAGAAUUUUCUCAAUGGGGGAAACCCUGAAGGAGCGACGCCGCGUGGAGGAUGAAGGUCUUCGGAUCGUAAACUCCUGUCAUGAGGAACAAACCUACAUGUUAACUGAUGUGUAGCUGAUAGUACCUCAAGAGGAAGAGACGGCUAACUCUGUG